ACCCGCACAAGCGGUGGAUGAUGUGGAUUAAUUCGAUGCAACGCGAAAACCUUACCUACCCUUGACAUGUCCGGAAUCCUGCAGAGAUGCGGGAGUGCCGAAAGGGAAUCGGAACACAGGUGCUGCAUGGCUGUCGUCAGCUCGUGUCGUGAGAUGUUGGGUUAAGUCCCGCAACGAGCGCAACCCUUAUCAUUAGUUGCUACGCAAGGGCACUCUAAUGAGACUGCCGGUGACAAACCGGAGGAAGUGGGGAUGACGUCAAGUCCUCAUGGCCCUUAUGGGUAGGGCUUCACAUGUCAUACAAUGGUCGGUACAGAGGGUUGCCAAGCCGCGAGGUGGAGCCAAUCCCAGAAAGCCGAUCGUAGUCCGGAUUGUUCUCUGCAACUCGAGAGCAUGAAGUCGGAAUCGCUAGUAAUCGCAGGUCAGCAUACUGCGGUGAAUACGUUCCCGGGUCUU
rnacentral:rRNA from 1 species